CCUGCUCCCUAUUAGAAACUCCCAAGAAACAUAGAAACAUAUAAUGUGUCUGCAGAUAACCAUUUUGCCCAUCUAGUCUGCCCAAUAUACUGAAUACUAUGAAUAGCCCUUGGCCCUAUCUUAUAUGAAGGAUGGACGUAUGCCUAUUCCAUGCAUGCUUAAACUCAUUCACUGUA